UAGUGGCGGACGGGUGAGUAACGCGUGAGAAUCUGCCUUCAGGAGGGGGAUAACGACUGGAAACGGUCGCUAAUACCCCAUAUGCCUACGGGUGAAAUGUUUUUCGCCUGAAGAUGAGCUCGCGUCCGAUUAGCUUGUUGGUGAGGUAACGGCUCACCAAGGCUUACGGGUAGCUGGUCUGAGAGGAUGGUCAGCCACACUGGGACUGAGACACUGCCCAGACUCCUACGGGAGGCUGCAGUCGAGAAUCAUUGUCAAUGCACGAAAGUGUGAACAUGCGACGCCGCGUGGAGGAAGACGGCCCUUGGGUUGUAAACUCCUGUCAGCAGGGAGGAAUUACGGUUCCGCUAAUAGCGGACCCGUUUGACAGUACCUGCAGAGGAAGUCACGGCUAACUCUGUGCCAGCAGCCGCGGUAAUACAGAGGUGGCGAACGUUGUUCGGAUUUACUGGGCGUAAAGGGUCCGCAGGCGGUCUUGUGUGUCGGGUGUGAAAGCUCACGGCUCAACCGUGGAAUUGCACUCGAAACUGCAGGACUAGAGUACUGGAGGGGAGAAGGGAACACUUGGUGUAGCGGUGAAAUGCGUAGAUAUCAAGUGGAACACCGGUGGCGAAGGCGCUUCUCUGGACAGAUACUGACGCUCAUGGACGAAAGCUUGGGUAGCGAAAGGGAUUAGAUACCCCUGUAGUCCAAGCCGUAAACGGUGUGCACUAGACGUGGGUGGUUUUACCCCCAUCCGUGUCUGAGCUAACGCAUUAAGUGCACCGCCUGGGGAGUACGGUCGCAAGAUUAAAACUCAAAGGAAUUGACGGGGACCCGCACAAGCGGUGGAGCAUGCGGCUUAAUUCGAUGCAACGCGAAGAACCUUACCUGGGCUUGACAUAUAGCUGCAUCCGACCCGAAAGGGACGGAGCCUUCGAGGGUGCUAUACAGGUGCUGCAUGGCUGUCGUCAGCUCGUGCCGUGAGGUGUUGGGUUAAGUCCCGCAACGAGCGCAACCCCUGUGUUUAGUUGCCAGCACGUAAUGUGGGAACUCUAAACAGACUGCCUGUGAAAACAGGAGGAAGGUGGGGAUGACGUCAAGUCAGUAUGGUCCUUAUGUCCAGGGCUGCACACGUGCUACAAUGGGAUGUACAAUGGGAAGCUAAGCCGCGAGGUGGAGCAAAUCCUCAAAACAUCCCCCAGUUCGGAUUGUAGUCGGAAACUCGACUGCAUGAAGUUGGAAUCGCUAGUAAAGGUAUAUCAGCUACGAUACCUUGAAUACGUUCCCGGGUCUUGUACACACCGCCCG
rnacentral:rRNA from 1 species